rnacentral:rRNA from 1 species
GACGAACGCUGGCGGCGUGCUUAACACAUGCAAGUCGAACGGAAAGGCCCUGCUUUUGCGGGGUGCUCGAGUGGCGAACGGGUGAGUAACACGUGAGUAACCUGCCCUUGACUUUGGGAUAACUUCAGGAAACUGGGGCUAAUACAGGAUAGGAGCUCCUGCAGCAUGGGGGGGGUUGGAAAGUGACGGCGGUUGGGGAUGGACUCGCGGCUUACGAGCUAGUUGGGGGGGUAGUGGCUUACAAAGGCUUCGACGGGUAGCCGGCCUGGGAGGGUGAACGGCGUCAUUGGGCCUGCGGUAGGCCCCAGUCUCGUACGGGCGGCAGAGGUGGGGAGCCUUACACAGUGGGCGGGAGCGUGAUGCGGCGGCGCCGCGUGCGGAAUGACCGCCUUCUGGUUGUAAACCGCUUUCGCCUGUGACGAAGCGUGAGUGACGGUAACGAGUAAAGAAGCACCGGCUAACUACGUG